rnacentral:rRNA from 1 species
GGCGGGGUAACGGCCCACCGAGGCGACGAUGCCUAGGGGUUCUGAGAGGAAGGUCCCCCACACUGGUACUGAGACACGGACCAGACUCCUACGGGAGGCAGCAGUGAGGAAUAUUGGUCAAUGGGCGGGAGCCUGAACCAGCCAAGUCGCGUGAGGGACGACGGCCCUACGGGUUGUAAACCUCUUUUGCCGGGGGACAAACGGCGGCACGCGUGCCGUCCUGAGGGUACCCGGAGAAAAAGCAUCGGCUAACUCCGUGCCAGCAGCCGCGGUAAUACGGAGGAUGCGAGCGUUAUCCGGAUUUAUUGGGUUUAAAGGGUGCGUAGGCGGGAUGCCAAGUCAGCGGUCAAAUACGGGGGCUCAACCUGCGUCCGCCGUUGAAACUGGCGUUCUUGAGUGGGCGAGAAGUACGCGGAAUGCGUGGUGUAGCGGUGAAAUGCAUAGAUAUCACGCAGAACCCCGAUUGCGAAGGCAGCGUACCGGCGCCCAACUGACGCUGAAGCACGAAAGCGUGGGUAUCGAACAGGAUUAGAUACCCUGGUAGUCCACGCAGUAAACGAUGAACACUAAUUGUCCGGCGGGGUUUGCCGCUGG